AACAGAUCCAAGAUGUUGUUUGAGCCAUGCAACUAGAAGAUCUCAUAGAACUAAAGUUAUCUAAUUUACAGAAAAGGUUUUACGUCAUGUCUAUUGUACAGAUUCAUAUGAAAACCAUAGUUCAAACUCCAAGGUUUAAGAAGUAAGAAAGAUCAUGCCAUUUGCAACAAACAUGAAUGCAUAUUUGAAAAGCAACUGUAAGUAUGCUAUUGGACAUUGGUAAAGAUUGAAUAUCUGACCAUGGCAUAUCAAAAAACCGUGGAAUGAGUACUGCUUAUCAAGAUCUGGGUGUGAGAAGACUUAAAAAGUCAGAUAGUCAGUGAGAACCAGCUAGAAUCCAUGAAAUUGUGACCAAUAAGAAUCCCAGAGAAGUUCUGCCCUAAUGGAGUCAACUUGAUUUGAGAUGCAAAUGGAUUUGAGCAAUAUCUGUUGUGGGAAAACUAGAAGACCAAAAAAAGCACAAAAGUCAAGAAAGAAGUCUCUUUUCACAUGAAAGUGGCUGUGCUAAUGGUUGAUCAAGAUAUCCUGAGUUUCCAGUAGAGAUGUUUCAGCUAUAACACGGGCCUGGUAGACAAAGCCUGAAGACAAAUACCGCUAUGAAUGGUUACAUCUAGGACUUCUGAGAUUAGCCCCAGAUUCAACUCAUUUUUUUUUUUGCAUUUGCUCAGCAAUAUGACAUGUUUACACUGAUUAGCUAAAAAGUUAUGUGAAGAAUGGGCAACAAUAUCUCUAAGGCAAGAUAUGCUCAGAUCCAAUAUAGUUCAUAUAGACCUUGUCAGAGUAAAUGACCAUGUGCCUUUCAGAACACUGAAGAAUAAAGUCCUUCCAUAUUAGAAUGACAAAUAUGUUUUUAUAAUCAAACUGUUUUAUUCCCAGCUUUAUUACUACCAUUCUCCAAUUUUCCCUGAGUAACAUAACACCGAUCAGUGUGCACAAUUAAAAGACUACAUUUCUCAACCUUCUUUUGGCAUCAUGUGACUAAAUUUUUGUCAAAGAGAGAAAGGCAGAAGCAUUGCCUAUGCGCUCCAGAAGACUUUGUGAAAGAUAGUGGGGGAUUUCUGAUUUCUUCUUUUCCUGAUAUUCCAAUAGGCAUGUGUUAGACCUUUUGACAUUGUCCUGUAGUUCUUGGAUGUUCUGUGCUUUGUUAUUUUAUUUUGUUUUAUUUUUUUAUUUUUAUUCUCUUUUCUGUUUGCCUCUCAUUUUGGGAAGUUUGUAUUGAUUUCUCUCAAAGCUCAUUUAUUAUUUGUUUAUCCAUGUCUUACCUACUGAUGAACCUGUCAAAGACAUUCUUCAUUUCUGUUGCAGAAUUUUUUAUUUCUAGAAUUUCCUUUUGAACUCUUCUGAAUGUUCCCUUCUUCCUACUUCUAUUGUCUAUCUCUUCUUAAACAUUGUGUAUAUUAAAAUGGUAAUUUUAAAUUUCCUGUUUGAUAAUUCUCAAAUCAGUGUAAUAACUCUGCCUGGUUCUAAUGCUUGCUUGGUCUCUUUAGGUUAUGCUUUACUUGCAUUUUAGCAUGCUUUAUAAUUUUUUGGUGAAAUCCAUAUAUAUUGCAUCAGGUAAUUGGAACUGAAGCAAAUAGGCUUUUACUAUGAGCUUUUAUGAGCUUUUAAAUUAGGCUAGCAGAUGAACUGUUUUGAACAUUUGUUAAAAUGUUGUAAGUUCCAGAGGCUUCACAUUCCUUUAUUUUCUUCAUUUAUUUUCUCACCUAUUGUGUUUGUGCUUCCCUAAGAAUUCCUUUUAAAAUAAGAGUCUAUACUUUGCAACUUUCUACUGUAAUCCAGUGUUAUUAUAUUAAAGCCCUGUUGAUAAGGUGGUAAGCUGUGAGGAAAACAAAAUAUUCUAUAGUUGUAUGGUUAAAUAUCAUUCUUUCAGCUGGCCUGUGCCACAAGGCUGUACGCUUCACUGGUGUUUCUUAGCUUUAAUCCUUCCCCCACUAAAUUGAAACAAGAAGGCCAAAGGGGGCUGAAGUUGAAAAAAUACUCUUUUUCCACAUGGGAUAAGGCUCUGGUAAAGUUUCUUCCACUGGAGAUAGGUGUUGUUGUUUAUUGUUGUUGUUUGUUGUUUUGUUUUUAUGGAGAACUCUCUAGGUGUAUUUUAUAAUGAUCAUACCUCCCCAACCUUGCCAGGUCCUUCAGAGGAUCUUUCAUGGCUCUCUACUAAUAAGAAUUUGGUGAGUUUCUGGUAGUAGAACCCACAAAAGUGUCAAGGACGUUUUUAGAAUGCAGCCCUAGGAAUUUCUCAAACUCAAGCUAGCCUACAUUUCAUUUUGGGCAGUUUAUUAAAAUUACUAUUUAAGUUUGCCUACCAGUUUAUGGUUCCUCAGCUUCUCCUCCAGGUAAGCAGAUCUCAGCUAUGACUAUCUGGAUUUCCCUUUCUCUCCAGAUUUUAGGCUUGCUGUUUACCCUGUGACCUCAGUUAUCUGAUGGGUCCAAGAAAAGUUAAUUGACUUUCAAUUUCUUUAGCUUUCUGUUAUUGUAAAGACAGGAGUGAUUACUUAUAAGCAUUUUACAUGUUGAACCUGAACCUUUAAGUUGAGCCUAUGCUUUACAAAAUAUAACAUAUUUUAUUUUGUAUUUGAAGCCACUAUAUGUGUGCACCAACAUCAAAAGAUGAUUAUGAUUUCAAAUGCUUCAGAAUUUAGGAAUUUUGAGGAGAGUGACAUUGUUUCAAUUUUCUCUUCCAAGGGCAUUUUCAAGUGUUUGUCCUAAAACAUGAAAAUCACCUUUGGAGCCUGUUAAAAAUAAACUAUUGAGCCCUUUCUCCAUAACAAUGAGGCAUAAUUUCUUUGAAUGGAGGCCAGAAAUACGUAUAUUAACAAGCCCACCAACUAAUACCUACAUAUAGGCAAGCUAAGAAAUAAUGCAUAUGUUAUCUACCAUAUUGUCUUUCACAUGUGUACUGAAUAGACAUUUAUCAAAUAACAUUUAUGUUUAAUGUAACAGAAUAAUUUUAAUUUGUGACUACAGAGAAAAUACUUUGUUUAGUUACUAUUUUAUGUCAGCAGUACUUUUUGCUUUCAGAAUUGGUGAAUAAAUAAGUAAUAAUAUUGUGAUAG